AAUGAGUCUUUGCCAAAAAGACGUUUACGUUAUGCUCGUAGGCGUCGCCCAAGGAUGAGGCCGCGACCGAUCAGGUUGUUGGUGAGGUAAUGGCUCACCAAGCCUUUUACCGGUGCGGGCCGUGAGAGCGGGAGCCCGGAGAUGGGCACUGAGACAAGGGCCCAGGCCCUACGGGGCGCAGCAGUCGCGAAAACUUUGCAAUACACGAAAGUGUGACAGGGCUAUCCCGAGUGCCAUCCGCUGAGGAAGGCUUUUACCCAGUCUAGAACGCUGGGGGAAUAAGGAGAGGGCAAGUCUGGUGUCAGCCGCCGCGGUAAUACCAGCUCUCCGAGUGGUGUGGAUGUUUAUUGGGCCUAAAGCAUCCGUAGCUGGCUGAGUUAGUCCCUUGUUAAAUCCACCGAAUUAAUCGUUGGAUUGCGGGGGAUACUGCUCGGCUAGGGGACGAGAGAGGCAGACGGUAUUUCCGGGGUAGGGGUGAAAUCCUAUAAUCCCGGGAAGACCACCAGUGGCGAAGGCUGUCUGCUAGAACGCGCCCGACGGUGAGGGAUGAAAGCUGGGGGAGCGAACCGGAUUAGAUACCCGGGUGGUCCCAGCUGUAAACGAUGCAGGCUAGGUGUUUGGACGGCCACGUGCCGUUCUAGUGCCGCAGGGAAGCUGUUAAGCCUGCCGCCUGGAGAGUACGAUCGCAAGAUUGAAACUU
rnacentral:rRNA from 1 species